UACAUAAUGCUCAAUUGCAGGAGAAGGGAGAGAAUAACAUUCAGAAUUGUAAAAUGUAUUGCAUUAAAGAACACAAGCAGCAUAUAUAUGUAUAGGAACACUCACAAGACAAUAGACACAGAUCUUUAAGGAAUGUGCAAAAUCCGCUGAAACCCACAACUGGGCUAAAGUCCCACUAGCAUACACUCUCCAACAGCAAGCAUCCAAAUCCUGACGCCUCACAGGUUGUGAUUUUAUAAGACUCCACUCUGCCUUGAAAUCCUAUUUGCUUGCGCUCCCUGUGUUUGAUUCCUUGACGUUCCAGUAAUGGGGAUAAACUCAAUGUGUGCCGCGUUUUAAACAAGGAAGUGAUCAUGGUGCUUUGAGUAACCUUUUAACCUGGAGUACAAAGCAU